rnacentral:rRNA from 1 species
UCGAGCGGACAGAUGGGAGCUUGCUCCCUGAUGUUAGCGGCGGACGGGUGAGUAACACGUGGGUAACCUGCCUGUAAGACUGGGAUAACUCCGGGAAACCGGGGCUAAUACCGGAUGCUUGUUUGAACCGCAUGGUUCAAAUAUAAAAGGUGGCUUUUAGCUACCACUUACAGAUGGACCCGCGGCGCAUUAGCUAGUUGGUGAGGUAACGGCUCACCAAGGCAACGAUGCGUAGCCGACCUGAGAGGGUGAUCGGCCACACUGGGACUGAGACACGGCCCAAACUCCUACGGGAGGCAGCAGUAGGGAAUCUUCCGCAAUGGACGAAAGUCUGACGGAGCAACGCCGCGUGAGUGAUGAAGGUUUUCGGAUCGUAAAACUCUGUUGUUAGGGAAGAACAAGUACCGUUCGAAUAGGGCGGUACCUUGACGGUACCUGACCAGAAAGCCACGGCUAACUACGUGCCAGCAGCCGCGGUAAUACGUAGGUGGCAAGCGUUGUCCGGAAUUAUUGGGCGUAAAGCGCGCGCAGGCGGUUUCUUAAGUCUGAUGUGAAAGCCCCCGGCUCACCCGGGGAGGGUCAUUGGAAACUGGGGAACUUGA